rnacentral:rRNA from 1 species
AUACCUAUUCGAAGGGAUAGGGUCGGUUCGGCCGGAUUUCACACAGGUGUUGCAUGGCUGUCGUCAGCUCGUGUCGUGAGAUGUUGGGUUAAGUCCCGCAACGAGCGCAACCCUCAUCCUUAGUUACCAUCAGGUAAUGCUGGGGACUUUAAGGAAACUGCCAGUGAUAAACUGGAGGAAGGUGGGGAUGAUGUCAAGUCAUCAUGGCCCUUAUGGAGUGGGCUACACACGUGCUACAAUGGUGGCUACAAUGGGCUGCAAAGUCGCGGGGCUAAGCUAAUCCCUUAAAAGCCAUCUCAGUUCGGAUUGUACUCUGCAACUCGAGUGCAUGAAGUUGGAAUCGCUAGUAAUCGUGGAUCAGCACGCCACGGUGAAUACGUCUCGGGUCUGACA